UGAAGAAGUAUGAAGAGAGAGAACCCGAGAGAACCCGAGAGAACCCGAAACAACGCGGGAAAAUCUAAAACAACAAGGUGUCGUACUUACAAAAUGACGGAGGGAAGGAUGGAGCCCUGAGCUGAGGAGAUGCAACAUUUGCCAAACAAAGGGGAGCUAUGCAAAGCUUGUGUCUCAUGUGCAGGGACAGAGGACGGUGGAUACAGUGUCUACAAAUGCCACCUUGACUGUGUGCAAAGCCAUUAUCACUGUGGCUUAG